rnacentral:rRNA from 1 species
UUACGGUCAAAUCACGCUGAAACACCGGUUCUCGUUCGAUCACCGAAGUUAAGCAUCGUAGAGCCAGGUCAGUACUUAGAUAGGGGACCGCUUGGGAACACCUGGUACUGUAAG